rnacentral:tRNA from 1 species
GCGCCCGUAGCUCAGUGGAUAGAGUGCCUGACUACGAAUCAGUAGGUCGAAGGUUCAAGUCCUUCCGGGCGCGCCA